AUGCUUCUGGAAGCCCUUAAGCGCACGGGGAGGCAGCUGGUGCGCGUCAAGGUGGUGGACUCCGGCAGCGAAGAAACCCGCCUGUCGCGCUGCCUCAACACCUUCGACCUGGUGGCGCUGGGCGUGGGCAGCACGCUGGGCGCCGGCGUCUACGUGGUGGCCGGCAACGUGGCCAAAGAAAGUUCGGGACCCGCCAUCGUCCUGUCCUUCCUCAUUGCGGCGCUGGCGUCCGUCCUGGCCGGCCUGUGCUACGCCGAAUUUGGCGCCCGCGUGCCCAAAACGGGCUCGGCGUACCUUUACACUUAUGUGGCGGCCGGAGAGUUGCUGGCCUUCAUCACCGGAUGGAACCUCCUCAUGUCGUAUGCCAUUGGUACUUCGAGCGUGGCCAAAACGUGGAGCGCCACUUUCGACACGCUCAUCGGAGGCAAAAUCGGGAGGUGGAGCAAAAGCAACUUCCCCAUGAACUUGCCUGGCGUCCUGUCAGAAUACGCCGACGUCUUUUCAGUGGGUCUCGUCUUCGUUUUCACAGGCCUGCUCGGCUUUGGCGCGAAGGAGUCUGCGCUGGUGGGCAAAAUUUUCACCAGCAUCAACAUCUUGGUUCUCGUAACCGUAAUGGUCAGCGGGAUGAUCAAAGGAGAUGCCGAAAACUGGAAGGUGGACCCAGAGGAGAUCCUGCGCGCCGCCGCCGCUAUGGCGUCCUCACCUAAUGCAACAAAUAAUUCGUCUUUGAAGGAAAGUCUGGGCGCAGGGGGCUUCAUGCCUUUCGGCUGGACGGGGGUCUUCUCCGGGGCCGCCACUUGCUUCUACGCCUUCAUUGGCUUUGAAUGUAUCGCCACUUCAGGUGAGGAGGUGAAGAACCCGCAGAAGGCCGUCCCCAUCGGCAUCGUGAGCUCGCUGCUCAUCUGCCUGCUGAUGUACGUGGGCGUGUCCACCGCCCUCACCCUCUUGAUGCCGUACUACCUCCUGGACGCGCAGAACCCGCUGCCGGUGGCCUUCACGCACGUGGGCUGGCCCUUUGCCACCGACGCCGUGGCUGCCGGCUCUCUCUGCGCGCUCUCCACCAGUUUACUGGGCGCCAUGUUCCCCAUGCCCAGAGUGAUUUGGGCCAUGGCAGAGGACGGCCUGCUCUUCAAAUGUUUGAGCAGAAUCAACGGUCGCACCAAAACGCCUCUCAUAGCGACCAUCGUGUCCGGCGGCGUCUCGGCCGUGGUGGCCAUGUUGUUCGACUUGAAGGAUCUGGUGGACCUGAUGUCCAUCGGCGCUCUGCUGGCUUACACGCUGGUGGCCGCGUGCCUGCUGGUGCUCAGGUACAAGCCUGACAGGAGCGCCCCCUACGAGAUGGAUGUUGGCGAGCAGGAGGUGGAGAGCGAGGGCGACGGCGACGCCCGGGUUAAGGAAGAUCUCUGCGCCACCGUCGGGUGGCUGGUGCUACACCCGGAUAAAGAACCCACUCCUCGCUCCGGGUUCGCCGUCACCGUUUGCACCAGCGUCAUCGUGGUUUUGGCGUUCCUCUUCAGCGCCGUGGCGGUGACAGGCAGGCGAGCCUUGUGGCGCUCCAUCCUCCUGGGCGCCAUCUUGCUGCCGUGCGUGGGCGUCACCGCUGUGCUGUGGAGGCAGCCGCAAAACAAGAGCAGGCCCACCUUCAAAAUCCCCCUGGUGCCCAUCCUGCCUCUGGUGAGCGUGUUGAUCAAUAGCUACCUGCUGACGCAGCUCCUGGCGGGACCUUGGGUGCACUACACCACCUGCAUGGCCAUAGGUUUGCUCAUCUACUUCUGCUACGGCAUUCGUAACAGCACGCAAGCAGAGUGGAACAAGGCGCCCGAAUGCAGACUGGACGGCCGCGGAGACGAGUUGUGAUUUUCCAGCUCACUUUUUGAAGACACUUGCCAAAACACAGCAUUGUGGAUUUUUAGAGCUGCCCCAUUUACACUUACAGAAUCACUUUUGUUUGAAUUCUUGACCUGAUUUCUCUUCUACGUGAGCCGCGCAAUGUCAUGAAUCAUGUUUUUUUUGGAAGAUCCGUUUUUUUUGAAGGCCCUGGCCCACAUUCCAACCUUGAACAUCUUCUGCUAAGCACUACCCGUCAUCCUAGCUCUUGUCUACUUUUAAUCUCUUGAAUGAGUAAAUGUUUAUUUUUAGCUUGGCUUGUCUGUGUUCUUAGUUCUUGAUAAUAUUUAUAAUAUUUUGAAUGCAUGUAUUGUCCAACUUGUGGAUUGUCCUUGAGUAAUGACUUCAAUGUGCACAUUGGUUGGGAAUGAUAAUGACGUUGUGAGCGUAGAAUAGAGCUGAAAUUAAAAACGACAUCAUUUGAUUGACAGCAGUGCACAGCUACACUUAAUGUUAAAGUUCCUAAAAAUAAAGGAGAACGUCCAAUCUAAGUAGAAUGAUUUCUUCCAUUGUGUGCAGGUAAUUGCUGACGUUCCACAUGACCACCAGAGGGCGAACGCGCGCAGCUGGUUCUUCGACAUGCUCCGUGAGAACUUUUCUUCAUGUUGACCUCGUUGAUUUUUGCUGGAAUGAAGAUUUGAGGUUCCGAGCUGGCAUGAUGGUCCUUCAGUCGACUGGACCCGCACACAAGUAAACUUGCCCCUCCGGGAGGUGGGUGGACAAACAUCCAAGUCUGAAAUGUGCGAGAG